UGGAUAAAGUCUGACGGAGCAACGCCGCGUGAGUGAAGAAGGUUUUCGGAUCGUAAAACUCUGUUGUCGGAGAAGAACAAGUAGGAGAGUAACUGUUCCUACCUUGACGGUACCCGACCAGAAAGCCACGGCUAACUACGUGCCAGCAGCCGCGGUAAUACGUAGGUGGCAAGCGUUGUCCGGAUUUAUUGGGCGUAAAGCGAGCGCAGGUGGUUUCUUAAGUCUGAUGUGAAAGCCCACGGCUCAACCGUGGAAGGUCAUUGGAAACUGGGGAACUUGAAUGCAGAAGAGGAGAGUGGAAUUCCAUGUGUAGCGGUGAAAUGCGUAGAUAUAUGGAGGAACACCAGUGGCGAAGGCGACUCUCUGGUCUGUUAUUGACACUGAGGCUCGAAAGCGUGGGGAGCAAACAG
rnacentral:rRNA from 1 species